UACAGGGGGGGCAAGCGUUGUUCGGAAUUACUGGGCGUAAAGGGCUCGUAGGCGGCCAACUAAGUCAGACGUGAAAUCCCCAGGCUUAACCUGGGAACUGCGUCUGAUACUGGAUGGCUUGAGAUUGGGAGAGGGAUGCGGAAUUCCAGGUGUAGCGGUGAAAUGCGUAGAUAUCUGGAGGAACACCGGUGGCGAAGGCGACAUCCUGGACCAACACUGACGCUGAGGAGCGAAAGCGUGGGGAGCAAACAGG
rnacentral:rRNA from 1 species